rnacentral:misc_RNA from 1 species
UUAUCAUUUAGAGGAAGGAGAAGUCGUAACAAGGUUUCCGUAGGUGAACCUGCGGAAGGAUCAUUGUCGAAACCUGCGUAGCAGAAUGACCAGCGAACUUGUUGUCAAACGUUGGUGUGGUUGCCGCAAGAUGUGCCUCUCGGCCGUCCAGAAGCAACCCCAUCCGGUGGAGAGCAGGCAGUCGAGCUAUUCUCUUCACCAACAAAAAUUAACAAUCCCCGGCGCGGAAUGUGCCAAGGAAUACUCCAAAGCGAACGAAGUCCUCGUGGCCGGUCACGGUCUGUGGGGGCUCUUCGAUCCACGAAAGUGAAAACGACUCUCGGCAACGGAUAUCUUGGCUCUCGCAUCGAUGAAGAACGUAGCGAAAUGCGAUACUUGGUGUGAAUUGCAGAAUCCCGUGAACCAUCGAGUCUUUGAACGCAAGUUGCGCCCGAUGCCAUUUGGUUGAGGGCACGUCUGCCUGGGUGUCACGCAAUGUCGCCCCCCUCCCCAUGGGGGUUGGGAGCGGAUGGUGGCCUCCCAUGGGACUGUGUGUACUCGGUCUCUGUGGUUGGUCGAAAAGUAAGACAUCGCCAGAGAGUGCCACGGCGAGCUGUGGUUGAAAUUAUAGUCAUUAGUCAGCCGUGAGCAUUCCUCUUUGAAUGAUGCAUCGAUGGACUAGAAUCGGCAUGGUUGCCGUAACAACAGCGACCCCAGGUCAGGCGGGAACACCCGCUGAGUUUAAGCAUAUCAAU